UGAGGAAUAUUGGUCAAUGGGCGCAAGCCUGAACCAGCCAUGCCGCGUGCAGGAAGACGGUCCUAUGGAUUGUAAACUGCUUUUAUUUGGGACGAAACACUCUUUAUCUAGAGAGCUUGACGGUACCAGAUGAAUAAGCACCGGCUAACUCCGUGCCAGCAGCCGCGGUAAUACGGAGGGUGCAAGCGUUAUCCGGAUUUAUUGGGUUUAAAGGGUCCGUAGGCGGGCCGAUAAGUCAGUGGUGAAAUCUCAUAGCUUAACUAUGAAACUGCCAUUGAUACUGUCGGUCUUGAGUAAAUUAGAGGUAGCUGGAAUAUGUAGUGUAGCGGUGAAAUGCUUAGAUAUUACAUGGAAUACCAAUUGCGAAGGCAGGUUACUACUAAUGGAUUGACGCUGAUGGACGAAAGCGUGGGGAGCGAACA
rnacentral:rRNA from 1 species